GUUGUAAGCUGCCAUGUGUGUGCUGGGAAUUGAACCCGGGUACACUGGAAGUGCUUUUAAUUGCUGAGCC
rnacentral:miRNA from 1 species